GGCUUGUGGUCGUAGGGCGAGGCCUGGGGGGCGGCGCCGUAGGGUUGGGCCACGGGGGCGAGCCAUAGGGUUGGCUUCCAGGCGGCGCGCCAUAGGGGGUGGCGUAGCCCUGUGGUGGGGGUGUCUCGUAGGGGGAGGAGCCAUGGGGUUGGUUUCCAGGCGGCGCACCGUAGCCGUAGCUGGGAGGAUGGUUUGGGUGUCCCGACAUUUUGCUGUAGAGAGCUGAGGGGGGUGAGCCAGGUUGGUAUUGAAUCUGAUGUAGUCCACCGUUUUAUUCUGCGCGUUCUCAUCCGAUGAACGAGUCAUGCGACUUCUGGCUCCCAGCAAGAUGUCAUUACGAAAUUGCCAUCUUUUGUUCUGACUUAGUCCAUAUUUCGUCCUGAUUUAUUUUGUAAUGCAUUAUUAUACUCACCUUUCCAUUCACAUGUAAUAUUUUCAUUGAUUAAUAAUUUUGUUCAAAAACAAUUGCCCUAAAUAUAAUAGAAGUGAAAUAAACAUGUAAUAUUUUUUAUUAUAUA